UGUCAAAAGAGUGACUCUUGAGGCGGAUGUGCCUACUCUAAGCUGAUCUAAAUGGUGUUCCAAAUGUGGAAUGAUCCUUACCGAACGGAGAUACUCAGGCAGUCAGGAUUUGUGCCUUUGGGGCUGCACUCUCUUGAGCACUCAUGCCUUGUACAAUACUUUCUGCUUCAACACUGUCUGGUCGACUAAUGCUUGGACUUCCUGGACUUGGUACCUCCUGAUGUAUGAUCAGCCACUGCUGAAAGAGUGAUGCUUGAGGCGGAUGUGCCCAGACUGAGCUGAUCUGACUUGGGUUGGCAAUGUAUAGAAUGAUCCUGACAGCGUUGAACCAAUCGGGGCUAUCCAGACAGUCUAGUUUUCUGCAUUUGGGUUACCGUGUCUUGAUCACCCAGGCCUGGUUCACUACCGCCAGAGUCUCUACUUUCUGGCUCAUGAUCAUUCUUGUCUGCAAAACCCACAAGUAGUCAAAGUGUGCUGCACCGAACGGGUUGGACCAGACUGUUCUGCUUUUGGCAGUGCUGGUCAUGCCUGGAAUGGUCUUGACAGCGUUGAUCCAACCGGAGUUACUCAGGCAGUCAGGAUUUGUGCCUUUUGGGCUGCACUCUCUUGAUCACCCAUGCCUUGUCCACUUCUUUCUGCUUCAACACUGUCUGGUCGUCUAACGCUUGGACAAAAUCGUCUGCAUCUUCCUCGACUUGGUACCUUCUGAUGUAUGAUCAGCCACUGCUGAAAGAGUGAUGCUUGAGGCGGAUGUUCCCAGACUGAGCUGAUCUGACUGGGGUUGGCAAUGUAUAGAAUGAUCCUGAACGCCUUGAACCAAUCGGGGCUAUCCAGACAGUCUAGUUUUCUGCCUUUGGGUUACCGUGUCUUGAUCACCCAGGCCUGGUCCACUACCGCCAGAGUCUCUACUUUCUGGCUCAUUCUUGUCUGCAAAACCCACAAGUAGUCAAAGUGUGCUUCACCGAACGGGUUGGACCAGACUGUUCUGCCUUUGGCGCUGUUGGUCAUGCCUGGAAUGGUCUUGACAGCGUUGAUACAAAUGGAGUUACUCAGGCAGUCAGAAUGUGUGCCUUUUGGGCGGCACUCUCUUGGUCAUCCAUGCCUUGUCCACUUCUUUCUGCUUCAACACUGUCUGGUCGUCUAACGCUUGGACAAAAUCGUCUGCAUCUUCCUCGACUUGGUACCUUCUGAUGUAUGAUCAGCCACUGCUGAAAGAGUGAUGCUUGAGGCGGAUGUGCCCAGACUGAGCUGAUCUGACUGGGGUUGGCAAUGUAUAGAAUGAUCCUGACAGCGUUGAACCAAUCGGGGCUAUCCAGACAGUCUAGUUUUCUGCCUUUGGGUUACCGUGUCUUGAUCACCCAGGCCUGGUCCACUACUGCCAGAAUCUCUACUUUCUGGCUCAUUCUUGUCUUCAAAACCCACAAGUAGUCAAAGUGGGGUGCACCGAACGGGUUGGACCAGACUGUUCUGCUUUUGGGGGUGCUGGUCAUGCCUGGAAUGGUUUUGACAGCGUUGAUCCAACCGGAGUUACUCAGGCAGUCAGGAUUUGUGCCUUUUGGGCGGCACUCUCUUGAUCAUCCAUGCCUUGUCCACUUCUUUCUGCUUCAACACUGUCUGGUCGUCUAACGCUUGGACAAAAUUGUCUGCAUCUUCCUCGACUUGGUACCUUCUGAUGUAUGAUCAGCCACUGCUGAAAGAGUGAUGCUUGAGGCGGAUGUGCCCAGACUGAGCUGAUCUGACUGGGGUUGGCAAUGUAUAGAAUGAUCCUGACAGCGUUGAACCAAUCGGGGCUAUCCAGACAGUCUAGUUUUCUGCCUUUGGGUUACCGUGUCUUGAUCACCCAGGCCUGGUCCACUACUGCCAGAAUCUCUACUUUCUGGCUCAUUCUUGUCUGCAAAACCCACAAGUAGUCAAAGUGGGGUGCACCGAACGGGUUGGACCAGACUGUUCUGCUUUUGGCAGUGCUGGUCAUGCCUGGAAUGGUUUUGACAGCGUCGAUCCAACCGGAGUUACUCAGGCAGUCAGGAUUUGUGCCUUUUGGGCUGCAUUCUCUUGAUCACCCAUGCCUUGUCCACUUCUUUCUGCUUCAACACUGUCUGGUCGUCUAACGCUUGGACAAAAUUGUCUGCAUCUUCCUCGACUUGGUACCUUCUGAUGUAUGAUCAGCCACUGCUGAAAGAGUGAUGCUUGAGGCGGAUGUGCCCAGACUGAGCUGAUCUGACUGGGGUUGGCAAUGUAUAGAAUGAUCCUGACAGCGUUGAACCAAUCGGGGCUAUCCAGACAGUCUAGUUUUCUGCAUUUGGGUUACCGUGUCUUGAUCACCCAGGCCUGGUCCACUACUGCCAGAAUCUCUACUUUCUGGCUCAUUCUUGUCUGCAAAACCCACAAGUAGUCAAAGUGGGGUGCACCGAACGGGUUGGACCAGACUGUUCUGCUUUUGGCAGUGCUGGUCAUGCCUGGAAUGGUUUUGACAGCGUUGAUCCAACCGGAGUUACUCAGGCAGUCAGGAUUUGUGCCUUUUUGGCUGCACUCUCUUGAUCACCCAUGCCUUGUCCACUUCUUUCUGCUUCAACACAGUCUGGUCGUCUAACGCUUGGACAAAAUUGUAUGCAUCUUCCUCGACUUGGUACCUUCUGAUGUAUGAUCAGCCACUGCUGAAAGAGUGAUGCUUGAGGCGGAUGUGCCCAGACUGAGCUGAUCUGACUGGGGUUGGCAAUGUAUAGAAUGAUCCUGACAGCGUUGAACCAAUCGGGGCUAUCCAGACAGUCUAGUUUUCUGCCUUUGGGUUACCGUGUCUUGAUCACCCAGGCCUGGUCCACUACUGCCAGAAUCUCUACUUUCUGGCUCAUUCUUGUCUGCAAAACCCACAAGUAGUCAAAGUGGGGUGCACCGAACGGGUUGGACCAGACUGUUCUGCUUUUGGCAGUGCUGGUCAUGCCUGGAAUGGUUUUGACAGCGUUGAUCCAACCGGGGUUACUCAGGCAGUCAGGAUUUGUGCCUUUUGGGCUGCACUCUCUUGAUCACCCAUGCCUUGUCCACUUCUUUCUGCUUCAACACAGUCUGGUCGUCUAACGCUUGGACAAAAUUGUAUGCAUCUUCCUCGACUUGGUACCUUCUGAUGUAUGAUCAGCCACUGCUGAAAGAGUGAUGCUUGAGGCGGAUGUGCCCAGACUGAGCUGAUCUGACUGGGGUUGGCAAUGUAUAGAAUGAUCCUGACAGCGUUGAACCAAUCGGGGCUAUCCAGACAGUCUAGUUUUCUGCCUUUGGGUUACCGUGUCUUGAUCACCCAGGCCUGGUCCACUACUGCCAGAAUCUCUACUUUCUGGCUCAUUCUUGUCUGCAAAACCCACAAGUAGUCAAAGUGGGGUGCACCGAACGGGUUGGACCAGACUGUUCUGCUUUUGGCAGUGCUGGUCAUGCCUGGAAUGGUUUUGACAGCGUUGAUCCAACCGGGGUUACUCAGGCAGUCAGGAUUUGUGCCUUUUGGGCUGCACUCUCUUGAUCACCCAUGCCUUGUCCACUUCUUUCUGCUUCAACACAGUCUGGUCGUCUAACGCUUGGACAAAAUUGUCUGCAUCUUCCUCGACUGGGUACCUUCUGAUGUAUGAUCAGCCACUGCUGAAAGAGUGAUGCUUGAGGCGGAUGUGCCCAGACUGAGCUGAUCUGACUUGGGUUGGCAAUGUAUAGAAUGAUCCUGAUAGCGUUGAACCAAUCGGGGCUAUCCAGACAGUCUAGUUUUCUGCCUUUGGGUUACCGUGUCUUGAUCACCCAGGCCUGGUCCACUACUGCCAGAAUCUCUACUUUCUGGCUCAUUCUUGUCUUCAAAACCCACAAGUAGUCAAAGUGGGGUGCACCGAACGGGUUGGACCAGACUGUUCUGCUUUUGGCAGUGCUGGUCAUGCCUGGAAUGGUUUUGACAGCGUUGAUCCAACCGGAGUUACUCAGGCAGUCUAGUUUUCUGCCUUUUGGGCUGCACUCUCUUGAUCACCCAUGCCUUGUCCACUUCUUUCUGCUUCAACACUGUCUGGUCGUCUAACGCUUGGACAAAAUUGUCUGCAUCUUCCUCGACUUGGUACCUUCUGAUGUAUGAUCAGCCACUGCUGAAAGAGUGAUGCUUGAGGCGGAUGUGCCCAGACUGAGCUGAUCUGACUGGGGUUGGCAAUGUAUAGAAUGAUCCUGACAGCGUUGAACCAAUCGGGGCUAUCCAGACAGUCUAGUUUUCUGCCUUUGGGUAACCGUGUCUUGAUCACCCAGGCCUGGUCCACUACUGCCAGAAUCUCUACUUUCUGGCUCAUUCUUGUCUUCAAAACCCACAAGUAGUCAAAGUGGGGUGCACCGAACGGGUUGGACCAGACUGUUCUGCUUUUGGCAGUGCUGGUCAUGCCUGGAAUGGUUUUGACAGCGUUGAUCCAACCGGAGUUACUCAGGCAGUCUAGUUUUCUGCCUUUUGGGCUGCACUCUCUUGAUCACCCAUGCCUUGUCCACUUCUUUCUGCUUCAACACUGUCUGGUCGUCUAACGCUUGGACAAAAUUGUCUGCAUCUUCCUCGACUUGGUACCUUCUGAUGUAUGAUCAGCCACUGCUGAAAGAGUGAUGCUUGAGGCGGAUGUGCCCAGACUGAGCUGAUCUGACUGGGGUUGGCAAUGUAUAGAAUGAUCCUGAUAGCGUUGAACCAAUCGGGGCUAUCCAGACAGUCUAGUUUUCUGCCUUUGGGUUACCGUGUCUUGAUCACCCAGGCCUGGUCCAUUACUGCCAGAAUCUCUACUUUCUGGCUCAUUCUUGUCUGCAAAACCCACAAGUAGUCAAAGUGUGCUGCACCGAACGGGUUGGACCAGACUGUUCUGCUUUUGGCGGUGUUGGUCAUGCCUGGAAUGGUUUUGACAGCGUUGAUCCAAACGGAGUUACUCAGUCAGUCAGGAUUUGUGCCUUUUGGGCUGCACUCUCUUGAUCACCCAUGCCUUGUCGACUUCUUUCUGCUUCAACACAGUCUGGUCGUCUAACGCUUGGACAAAAUUGUCUGCAUCUUCCUCGACUUGGUACCUUCUGAUGUAUGAUCAGCCACUGCUGAAAGAGUGAUGCUUGAGGCGGAUGUGCCCAGACUGAGCUGAUCUGACUGGGGUUGGCAAUGUAUAGAAUGAUCCUGAUAGCGUUGAACCAAUCGGGGCUAUCCAGACAGUCUAGUUUUCUGCCUUUGGGUUACCGUGUCUUGAUCACCCAGGCCUGGUCCAUUACUGCCAGAAUCUCUACUUUCUGGCUCAUUCUUGUCUGCAAAACCCACAAGUAGUCAAAGUGUGCUGCACCGAACGGGUUGGACCAGACUGUUCUGCUUUUGGCGGUGUUGGUCAUGCCUGGAAUGGUUUUGACAGCGUUGAUCCAAACGGAGUUACUCAGUCAGUCAGGAUUUGUGCCUUUUGGGCUGCACUCUCUUGAUCACCCAUGCCUUGUCCACUUCUUUCUGCUUCAACACUGUCUGGUCGUCUAACGCUUGGACAAAAUUGUCUGCAUCUUCCUCGACUUGGUACCUUCUGAUGUAUGAUCAGCCACUGCUGAAAGAGUGAUGCUUGAGGCGGAUGUGCCCAGACUGAGCUGAUCUGACUGGGGUUGGCAAUGUAUAGAAUGAUCCUGAUAGCGUUGAACCAAUCGGGGCUAUCCAGAAGGUCUAGUUUUCUGCCUUUGGGUUACCGUGUCUUGAUCACCCAGGCCUGGUCCAUUACUGCCAGAAUCUCUACUUUCUGGCUCAUUCUUGUCUGCAAAACCCACAAGUAGUCAAAGUGUGCUGCACCGAACGGGUUGGACCAGACUGUUCUGCUUUUGGCGGUGUUGGUCAUGCCUGGAAUGGUUUUGACAGCGUUGAUCCAAACGGAGUUACUCAGUCAGUCAGGAUUUGUGCCUUUUGGGCUGCACUCUCUUGAUCACCCAUGCCUUGUCCACUUCUUUCUGCUUCAACACAGUCUGGUCGUCUAACGCUUGGACAAAAUUGUCUGCAUCUUCCUCGACUUGGUACCUUCUGAUGUAUGAUCAGCCACUGCCAAAAGAGUGAUGCUUGAGGCGGAUGUGCCCAGACUGAGCUGAUCUGACUGGGGUUGGCAAUGUAUAGAAUGAUCCUGACAGCGUUGAACCAAUCGGGGCUAUCCAGACAGUCUAGUUUUCUUCCUUUGGGUUACCGUGUCUUGAUCACCCAGGCCUGAUCCACUACUGCCAGAAUCUCUACUUUCUGGCUCAUUCUUGUCUGCAAAACCCACAAGUAGUCAAAGUGGGGUGCACCGAACGGGUUGGACCAGACUGUUCUGCUUUUGGCGGUGUUGGUCAUGCCUGGAAUGGUCUUGACAGCGUUGAUCCAACCGGAGUUACUCAGGCAGUCAGGAUUUGUGCCUUUUGGGCUGCACUCUCUUGGUCCCCCAUGCCUUGUCCACUUCUUUCUGCUUCAACACUGUCUGGUCGUCUAACGCUUGGACAAAAUCGUCUGCAUCUUCCUCGACUUGGUACCUUCUGAUGAAUGAUCAGCCACUGCUGAAAGAGUGAUGCUUGAGGCGGAUGUGCCCAGACUGAGCUGAUCUGACUGGGGUUGGCAAUGUAUAGAAUGAUCCUGACAGCGUUGAACCAAUCGGGGCUAUCCAGACAGUCUAGUUUUCUGCCUUUGGGUUACCGUGUCUUGAUCACCCAGGCCUGGUCCACUACUGCCAGAAUCUCUACUUUCUGGCUCAUUCUUGUCUGCAAAACCCACAAGUAGUCAAAGUGGGGUGCACCGAACGGGUUGGACCAGACUGUUCUGCUUUUGGCAGUGCUGGUCAUGCCUGGAAUGGUUUUGACAGCGUUGAUCCAACCGGAGUUACUCAGGCAGUCAGGAUUUGUGCCUUUUGGGCUGCACUCUCUUGAUCACCCAUGCCUUGUCCACUUCUUUCUGCUUCAACACUGUCUGGUCGUCUAACGCUUGGACAAAAUUGUCUGCAUCUUCCUCGACUUGGUACCUUCUGAUGUAUGAUCAGCCACUGCUGAAAGAGUGAUGCUUGAGGCGGAUGUGCCCAGACUGAGCUGAUCUGACUGGGGUUGGCAAUGUAUAGAAUGAUCCUGAUAGCGUUGAACCAAUCGGGGCUAUCCAGACAGUCUAGUUUUCUGCCUUUGGGUUACCGUGUCUUGAUCACCCAGGCCUGGUCCAUUACUGCCAGAAUCUCUACUUUCUGGCUCAUUCUUGUCUGCAAAACCCACAAGUAGUCAAAGUGUGCUGCACCGAACGGGUUGGACCAGACUGUUCUGCUUUUGGCGGUGUUGGUCAUGCCUGGAAUGGUUUUGACAGCGUUGAUCCAAACGGAGUUACUCAGUCAGUCAGGAUUUGUGCCUUUUGGGCUGCACUCUCUUGAUCACCCAUGCCUUGUCGACUUCUUUCUGCUUCAACACAGUCUGGUCGUCUAACGCUUGGACAAAAUUGUCUGCAUCUUCCUCGACUUGGUACCUUCUGAUGUAUGAUCAGCCACUGCUGAAAGAGUGAUGCUUGAGGCGGAUGUGCCCAGACUGAGCUGAUCUGACUGGGGUUGGCAAUGUAUAGAAUGAUCCUGAUAGCGUUGAACCAAUCGGGGCUAUCCAGACAGUCUAGUUUUCUGCCUUUGGGUUACCGUGUCUUGAUCACCCAGGCCUGGUCCAUUACUGCCAGAAUCUCUACUUUCUGGCUCAUUCUUGUCUGCAAAACCCACAAGUAGUCAAAGUGUGCUGCACCGAACGGGUUGGACCAGACUGUUCUGCUUUUGGCGGUGUUGGUCAUGCCUGGAAUGGUUUUGACAGCGUUGAUCCAAACGGAGUUACUCAGUCAGUCAGGAUUUGUGCCUUUUGGGCUGCACUCUCUUGAUCACCCAUGCCUUGUCCACUUCUUUCUGCUUCAACACUGUCUGGUCGUCUAACGCUUGGACAAAAUUGUCUGCAUCUUCCUCGACUUGGUACCUUCUGAUGUAUGAUCAGCCACUGCUGAAAGAGUGAUGCUUGAGGCGGAUGUGCCCAGACUGAGCUGAUCUGACUGGGGUUGGCAAUGUAUAGAAUGAUCCUGAUAGCGUUGAACCAAUCGGGGCUAUCCAGAAGGUCUAGUUUUCUGCCUUUGGGUUACCGUGUCUUGAUCACCAAGGCCUGGUCCAUUACUGCCAGAAUCUCUACUUUCUGGCUCAUUCUUGUCUGCAAAACCCACAAGUAGUCAAAGUGUGCUGCACCGAACGGGUUGGACCAGACUGUUCUGCUUUUGGCGGUGUUGGUCAUGCCUGGAAUGGUUUUGACAGCGUUGAUCCAAACGGAGUUACUCAGUCAGUCAGGAUUUGUGCCUUUUGGGCUGCACUCUCUUGAUCACCCAUGCCUUGUCCACUUCUUUCUGCUUCAACACAGUCUGGUCGUCUAACGCUUGGACAAAAUUGUCUGCAUCUUCCUCGACUUGGUACCUUCUGAUGUAUGAUCAGCCACUGCCAAAAGAGUGAUGCUUGAGGCGGAUGUGCCCAGACUGAGCUGAUCUGACUGGGGUUGGCAAUGUAUAGAAUGAUCCUGACAGCGUUGAACCAAUCGGGGCUAUCCAGACAGUCUAGUUUUCUUCCUUUGGGUUACCGUGUCUUGAUCACCCAGGCCUGAUCCACUACUGCCAGAAUCUCUACUUUCUGGCUCAUUCUUGUCUGCAAAACCCACAAGUAGUCAAAGUGGGGUGCACCGAACGGGUUGGACCAGACUGUUCUGCUUUUGGCGGUGUUGGUCAUGCCUGGAAUGGUUUUGACAGCGUUGAUCCAAACGGAGUUACUCAGUCAGUCAGGAUUUGUGCCUUUUGGGCUGCACUCUCUUGAUCACCCAUGCCUUGUCGACUUCUUUCUGCUUCAACACAGUCUGGUCGUCUAACGCUUGGACAAAAUUGUCUGCAUCUUCCUCGACUUGGUACCUUCUGAUGUAUGAUCAGCCACUGCUGAAAGAGUGAUGCUUGAGGCGGAUGUGCCCAGACUGAGCUGAUCUGACUGGGGUUGGCAAUGUAUAGAAUGAUCCUGAUAGCGUUGAACCAAUCGGGGCUAUCCAGACAGUCUAGUUUUCUGCCUUUGGGUUACCGUGUCUUGAUCACCCAGGCCUGGUCCAUUACUGCCAGAAUCUCUACUUUCUGGCUCAUUCUUGUCUGCAAAACCCACAAGUAGUCAAAGUGUGCUGCACCGAACGGGUUGGACCAGACUGUUCUGCUUUUGGCGGUGUUGGUCAUGCCUGGAAUGGUUUUGACAGCGUUGAUCCAAACGGAGUUACUCAGUCAGUCAGGAUUUGUGCCUUUUGGGCUGCACUCUCUUGAUCACCCAUGCCUUGUCCACUUCUUUCUGCUUCAACACUGUCUGGUCGUCUAACGCUUGGACAAAAUUGUCUGCAUCUUCCUCGACUUGGUACCUUCUGAUGUAUGAUCAGCCACUGCUGAAAGAGUGAUGCUUGAGGCGGAUGUGCCCAGACUGAGCUGAUCUGACUGGGGUUGGCAAUGUAUAGAAUGAUCCUGAUAGCGUUGAACCAAUCGGGGCUAUCCAGAAGGUCUAGUUUUCUGCCUUUGGGUUACCGUGUCUUGAUCACCCAGGCCUGGUCCAUUACUGCCAGAAUCUCUACUUUCUGGCUCAUUCUUGUCUGCAAAACCCACAAGUAGUCAAAGUGUGCUGCACCGAACGGGUUGGACCAGACUGUUCUGCUUUUGGCGGUGUUGGUCAUGCCUGGAAUGGUUUUGACAGCGUUGAUCCAAACGGAGUUACUCAGUCAGUCAGGAUUUGUGCCUUUUGGGCUGCACUCUCUUGAUCACCCAUGCCUUGUCCACUUCUUUCUGCUUCAACACAGUCUGGUCGUCUAACGCUUGGACAAAAUUGUCUGCAUCUUCCUCGACUUGGUACCUUCUGAUGUAUGAUCAGCCACUGCCAAAAGAGUGAUGCUUGAGGCGGAUGUGCCCAGACUGAGCUGAUCUGACUGGGGUUGGCAAUGUAUAGAAUGAUCCUGACAGCGUUGAACCAAUCGGGGCUAUCCAGACAGUCUAGUUUUCUUCCUUUGGGUUACCGUGUCUUGAUCACCCAGGCCUGAUCCACUACUGCCAGAAUCUCUACUUUCUGGCUCAUUCUUGUCUGCAAAACCCACAAGUAGUCAAAGUGGGGUGCACCGAACGGGUUGGACCAGACUGUUCUGCUUUUGGCGGUGUUGGUCAUGCCUGGAAUGGUCUUGACAGCGUUGAUCCAACCGGAGUUACUCAGGCAGUCAGGAUUUGUGCCUUUUGGGCUGCACUCUCUUGGUCCCCCAUGCCUUGUCCACUUCUUUCUGCUUCAACACUGUCUGGUCGUCUAACGCUUGGACAAAAUCGUCUGCAUCUUCCUCGACUUGGUACCUUCUGAUGAAUGAUCAGCCACUGCUGAAAGAGUGAUGCUUGAGGCGGAUGUGCCCAGACUGAGCUGAUCUGACUGGGGUUGGCAAUGUAUAGAAUGAUCCUGACAGCGUUGAACCAAUCGGGGCUAUCCAGACAGUCUAGUUUUCUGCCUUUGGGUUACCGUGUCUUGAUCACCCAGGCCUGGUCCACUACUGCCAGAAUCUCUACUUUCUGGCUCAUUCUUGUCUGCAAAACCCACAAGUAGUCAAAGUGGGGUGCACCGAACGGGUUGGACCAGACUGUUCUGCUUUUGGCAGUGCUGGUCAUGCCUGGAAUGGUUUUGACAGCGUUGAUCCAACCGGAGUUACUCAGGCAGUCAGGAUUUGUGCCUUUUGGGCUGCACUCUCUUGAUCACCCAUGCCUUGUCCACUUCUUUCUGCUUCAACACUGUCUGGUCGUCUAACGCUUGGACAAAAUUGUCUGCAUCUUCCUCGACUUGGUACCUUCUGAUGUAUGAUCAGCCACUGCUGAAAGAGUGAUGCUUGAGGCGGAUGUGCCCAGACUGAGCUGAUCUGACUGGGGUUGGCAAUGUAUAGAAUGAUCCUGACAGCGUUGAACCAAUCGGGGCUAUCCAGACAGUCUAGUUUUCUGCCUUUGGGUUACCGUGUCUUGAUCACCCAGGCCUGGUCCACUACUGCCAGAAUCUCUACUUUCUGGCUCAUUCUUGUCUGCAAAACCCACAAGUAGUCAAAGUUGGGUGCACCGAACGGGUUGGACCAGACUGUUCUGCUUUUGGCAGUGCUGGUCAUGCCUGGAAUGGUUUUGACAGCGUUGAUCCAACCGGAGUUACUCAGGCAGUCAGGAUUUGUGCCUUUUGGGCUGCACUCUCUUGAUCACCCAUGCCUUGUCCACUUCUUUCUGCUUCAACACUGUCUGGUCGUCUAACGCUUGGACAAAAUUGUCUGCAUCUUCCUCGACUUGGUACCUUCUGAUGUAUGAUCAGCCACUGCUGAAAGAGUGAUGCUUGAGGCGGAUGUGCCCAGACUGAGCUGAUCUGACUGGGGUUGGCAAUGUAUAGAAUGAUCCUGAUAGCGUUGAACCAAUCGGGGCUAUCCAGACAGUCUAGUUUUCUGCCUUUGGGUUACCGUGUCUUGAUCACCCAGGCCUGGUCCAUUACUGCCAGAAUCUCUACUUUCUGGCUCAUUCUUGUCUGCAAAACCCACAAGUAGUCAAAGUGUGCUGCACCGAACGGGUUGGACCAGACUGUUCUGCUUUUGGCGGUGUUGGUCAUGCCUGGAAUGGUUUUGACAGCGUUGAUCCAAACGGAGUUACUCAGUCAGUCAGGAUUUGUGCCUUUUGGGCUGCACUCUCUUGAUCACCCAUGCCUUGUCCACUUCUUUCUGCUUCAACACAGUCUGGUCGUCUAACGCUUGGACAAAAUUGUCUGCAUCUUCCUCGACUUGGUACCUUCUGAUGUAUGAUCAGCCACUGCCAAAAGAGUGAUGCUUGAGGCGGAUGUGCCCAGACUGAGCUGAUCUGACUGGGGUUGGCAAUGUAUAGAAUGAUCCUGACAGCGUUGAACCAAUCGGGGCUAUCCAGACAGUCUAGUUUUCUUCCUUUGGGUUACCGUGUCUUGAUCACCCAGGCCUGAUCCACUACUGCCAGAAUCUCUACUUUCUGGCUCAUUCUUGUCUGCAAAACCCACAAGUAGUCAAAGUGUGCUGCACCGAACGGGUUGGACCAGACUGUUCUGCUUUUGGCGGUGUUGGUCAUGCCUGGAAUGGUCUUGACAGCGUUGAUCCAACCGGAGUUACUCAGGCAGUCAGGAUUUGUGCCUUUUGGGCUGCACUCUCUUG